UCCCUAUGGGGCUCUAUAUGGUCCCUAUGCGUCUCUCUGUUUCCUAUGUGCCCCACUAGUGGGCGUGGCUUCUUUAAGUGGGCGUGUCCCUGACGUGGCCCCGCCCCUUUAUGCAGAUAAGGCCCCGGAGGAACCUCCCGCGAAGCUAUUGGACGAUCUGUUCCGCAAGACCAAGGCGGCGCCCUGCAUCUAUUGGCUGCCGCUGACUGACAGUCAGUUCACCCAGAAACAAGCAGAACGUCAGGCCCGAGCCCGGGAAAGGGAAAGACGCCGGAAGGAACAGGAAGAGGCGGAGCUUAGAGCCAGGAGUGGGCGGGGCCACGACAAAAGGGGCGGAGCCUCCAGCCGGGACCGCCAAUCAGGAAGCGGGGCUACUCAGCCAUCGACCAAUCAGAGCGCGGCUCCGAGCUCCGCCCCCAGGUCUAAGAGGAGGAGCCGGAGCCGGAGCACUCCAUUAAGGGACAGGGGGGGGAGGCGUUGAAUGGAAUAGAAUGAGCCAAAAUUGGGGGGUUUUGACCCAAAAUUGGGGGGUUUUGACCCAAAAUUUGGGGCUCGGAGCCUCAUUUGGGGUCUGAAGGUUUUAGAUUUGGGGGUUUGGGGUGAAAAAGUGCGUUUUUAGGACCCGAAAUAAAGGAGAUUUUUUGACCCAAAACGA